rnacentral:rRNA from 1 species
GAUGAACGCUGGCGGCGUGCUUAACACAUGCAAGUCGAACGAUGAAGCUCAGCUUGCUGGGUGGAUUAGUGGCGAACGGGUGAGUAACACGUGAGUAACCUGCCCUUAACUCUGGGAUAAGCCUGGGAAACUAGGUCUAAUACCGGAUAGGAGCGCCUACCGCAUGGUGGGUGUUGGAAAGAUUUAUCGGUUUUGGAUGGUCUCGCGGCCUAUCAGCUUGUUGGUGAGGUAAUGGCUCACCAAGGCGACGACGGGUAGCCGGCCUGAGAGGGUGACCGGCCACACGGGGACUGAGACACGGCCCAGACUCCUACGGGAGGCAGCAGUGGGGAAUAUUGCACAAUGGGCGAAAGCCUGAUGCAGCGACGCCGCGUGAGGGAUGACGGCCUUCGGGUUGUAAACCUCUUUCAGUAGGGAAGAAGCGAAAGUGACGGUACCUGCAGAAGAAGCACCGGCUAACUACGUG